rnacentral:rRNA from 1 species
UGAGGAAUAUUGGUCAAUGGGCGAGAGCCUGAACCAGCCAAGUAGCGUGAAGGAUGACUGCCCUAUGAGUUGUAAACUUCUUUUAUAAAGGAAUAAAGUCGGGUAUGCAUACCCGUUUGCAUGUACUUUAUGAAUAAGGAUCGGCUAACUCCGUGCCAGCAGCCGCGGUAAUACGGAGGAUCCGAGCGUUAUCCGGAUUUAUUGGGUUUAAAGGGAGCGUAGAUGGAUGUUUAAGUCAGUUGUGAAAGUUUGCGGCUCAACCGUAAAAUUGCAGUUGAUACUGGAUAUCUUGAGUGCAGUUGAGGCAGGCGGAAUUCGUGGUGUAGCGGUGAAAUGCUUAGAUAUCACGAAGAACUCCGAUUGCGAAGGCAGCCUGCUAAGCUGCAACUGACAUUGAGGCUCGAAAGUGUGGGUAUCAAACAGGAUUAGAUACCCUGGUAGUCCACACGGUAAACGAUGAAUACUCGCUGUUUGCGAUAUACAGCAAGCGGCCAAGCGAAAGCGUUAAGUAUUCCACCUGGGGAGUACGCCGGCAACGGUGAAACUCAAAGGAAUUGACGGGGGCCCGCACAAGCGGAGGAACAUGUGGUUUAAUUCGAUGAUACGCGAGGAACCUUACCCGGGCUUAAAUUGCAGAUGAAUUACGGUGAAAGCCGUAAGCCGCAAGGCAUCUGUGAAGGUGCUGCAUGGUUGUCGUCAGCUCGUGCCGUGAGGUGUCGGCUUAAGUGCCAUAACGAGCGCAACCCUUGUUGUCAGUUACUAACAGGUUCCGCUGAGGACUCUGACAAGACUGCCAUCGUAAGAUGUGAGGAAGGUGGGGAUGACGUCAAAUCAGCACGGCCCUUACGUCCGGGGCUACACACGUGUUACAAUGGGGGGUACAGAGGGCCGCUACCACGCGAGUGGAUGCCAAUCCCCAAAACCUCUCUCAGUUCGGACUGGAGUCUGCAACCCGACUCCACGAAGCUGGAUUCGCUAGUAAUCGCGCAUCAGCCACGGCGCGGUGAAUACGUUCCC